rnacentral:rRNA from 1 species
UACGUAGGGCGCAAGCGUUAUCCGGAAUUAUUGGGCGUAAAGAGCUCGUAGGCGGUUUGUCGCGUCUGCUGUGAAAAGACCGGGGCUCAACUCCGGUUCUGCAGUGGGUACGGGCAGACUAGAGUGCAGUAGGGGAGACUGGAAUUCCUGGUGUAGCGGUGAAAUGCGCAGAUAAUCAGGAGGAACACCGAUGGCGAAGGCAGGUCUCUGGGCUGUAACUGACGCUGAGGAGCGAAAGCAUGGGGAGCGAACAGG